rnacentral:tRNA from 1 species
ACGCUAGUGGUGUAAGGCGUGGCAUCGCUACCCGAAAGGCAGAAAGCGUGGGUUCGAAUCCCGCCUGGCGCA